UGUGGGGUAGCAGCACAGCAGCAAUGGAAAACGGCUGAUGCAUCAGCAAGAGGCAGGGUUGGACCCCAGGAAGACACAACCAGAGGUUCCCAGAGAAGUGUCACCAAGCCUGCGGAGGAUCAUAUGCGAUGAAGACCAUCUGCUUUAUCCGAAGAUUUUCAGCCGAUGAGGAGCUAGGAGGCUCAAACACUGUCUUGUCUGGGUCCAGGCCGAGUGACUUGGAGAGCGUGCUCUUCCCUGGCAGGGCAGGAUGGCCC